rnacentral:rRNA from 1 species
CCUACGGGAGGCAGCAGUAGGGAAUAUUGCACAAUGGGCGCAAGCCUGAUGGAGCAACACCGCGUGAGUGAAGAAGGGUUUCGGCUCGUAAAGCUCUGUUGUUGGAGAAGAACGUGAGGGAGAGUAACUGUUCACGCAGUGACGGUAUCCAACCAGCAAGUCACGGCUAACUACGUGCGAGCAGCAGCGGUAAUACGUAGGUGGCAAGCGGUAGCCGGAUUGAUGGGGCGUAAAGCGAGCGCAGGCGGUUGCUUAGGUCUGAGGUGAAAGCCUUCGGCUUAACCGAAGAAGUGCAUCGGAGACCGGGCGACUUGAGUGCAGAAGAGGACAGUGGAAUGCCAUGUGUAGCGGUGGAAUGCGUAGAUAUCUGGAAGAACACCAGUGGCGAAGGCGGCUGUCUGGUCUGCAACUGACGCUGAGGCUCGAAAGCGUGGGUAGCGAACAGGAUUAGAUACCCUUGUAGUC